CUCAAAUACCAGAUUGCUAAAAUGCCACAGACCAUUACUAGUACUUAAAGGGACACUGCACUGCCUAAAUACAGAUCUCUUGUCUUUAGCCUUUGCAAGACUUCCCCUUCUAUCCCCGCCCAGACUUUCUGCGGCUGUCCACUCACAGACUUCCCAAUGCAGAUCAUUGAGCUGUCUUUGCAAGGCACGUGCUCUGGACAGUUGUUUCCUCUAGAGUUCAGUGCAACUAAGCUAACCGAUCCAGGAAAUAACAGGACCUGUUGUCUGCUUGAAAAGUCUGUGGGUGUAAUCAGUACAAUUUAUAAGUGUCAAUUUCUCUUCUCACAGAAAGCUCUUCAGCAAGCUUAAGUCAUUUAGGGGUCUGGAGUGUCCCUUUAAAGGAUCGGUUCUGCUAAGAGAAUCAGUUAUUUCAAAGCACUUGAAAUAUUUUUUGAUUCUCAUAUUAAAAGUUUACACCAUCCAAGAAAACACUAGUUUUGGUUAGAGUAACCUUGCCUGUCCCAGCCCAAGUUUUUUAAUUUUUAAAUUAAUAAAUAAAUAAAGCUAAAAAUUACCUGCCUUUCGAUGCUGAGGCCCAGUGGCGUCUCUAGGAUUCAUUUUUAGGAGGGGCACAUGGUGGGCCAGGGACAAAAGUAGGGGGGCACAUUUAACCCCGUCCUCGCCGCAGUUUGACCCCGCCCCUGCCGCAUGUUAAGCCCCACCCCCGACACAAUGUCAGUGUUUUGUUUUUGUUUUCCAAAUAAUCCCUGGUGGAGGAUUCAUUAUUUUCCACCAGGGAUUAUUAAAAAAGAAACACAUUUCCCUUGAUACAGUGCCAUAGUUGGCACGGUAUCCAUAUACACAGUCCAUAUACACACACGCACGCACAGGCACACAGACUGCUGAGUCCAUAGACACACAUACUGCUGAGUCCAUACACACACAUAGACUGCUGAGUCCAAAAACACACACAGACACACAAACUGCUGAGUCCACACACACACAAAAGCUUCCUCACUAGCAGACACACACAGACUGCUGAGUCCAUACACAGACACACACACUGCUGAGUCCAUACACACACACACACACACACACAGACUGCUGAGUUCAUGCACACAGUGCCCCAGCAUCUCUCCACAGACACCCAGCACUGCAUUCCCUCAGGCUGUCACAGACUGUUACAGUCUGAGGGAAUAAAAUUUAAACACAUGGCCAGCAAGUUGCCGGCAUUUGGGGGGCCCAAGGGGGAGCACAGCAUGAUGUAGGGGGGGACAUGGCCCCCUCUGGCCCCCCCCCCAGCGACGCCACUGCUGAGGCCAAGUUCUCCUCUCAUGAUUUUCCUUUAUUUACUUAUUAUUUAUUACUGGCAUUUAUAAAGCGCCAACAUAUUCCACAGCGCUGUACAUUUGGGAAAAAGACAAACACAAUAAGAACAGACCAAUACAACUGGCAGAGGUCCCUGCCGGUGAGCUUACACUCUAAAGGUUAAACUGGGGAGAUGAGACAAGAGGUAGCAGAGGAAUUUGUAUGUGAUGGCAGAGAGAGUUAAUGGUGUAACUGCAGCAGCUGAUAACGUGAAGGUAAUAGGGAGGUGAUUGGCUGUGGUUCCAAACAGCUGGAGGUGCAUGCUAUAUACAGGGAUAGGCAACAUUCGGAACUCCAGAUGUUGUGGACUACAUCCCCCUUAAUGCUUGCAAAGCAUCAUGGGGGGUGUAGUCCAAAACAUCUGGCAUGCCGAAGGUUGCCCAUGCCUGCUAUAUGUUAGAAGGAACCAGGGUGGGUGGGAGGAGCCAUGUAAAAUUAAAUGGCCUUCAUGUUGCAGGGAUAGGUGGUUUGGGUCUUUUAAAGCUGUAGUUUUCAAAAUUAAAUGGCCUUCAUGUUGCAGGGAUGGGUGGUUUGGGUCUUUACUGACGUCACUCCCCCUAGCUGAUGGAGGAGAAAUGUAUUGGGAGAAUGGACUAAAGGGAGGACUUGGACAGCAAGAAAUCACCAAAGCAACUGUGAUUUUUUUUAAAAUAUCUACUAAAAGUUACUUAUGAAAUACUUAUUUAGGCACCAAGGAAUAGAUUCCUUUUUAGACACCAAACGUGAAAUGUCAAAUUAUGUCUAAUAUAGCCCUUUAAGUAAUAAUGAUAGGAUCAGUCCAUUAUAUAUAAACAGACUAGGGUUUAUAUUUACUAAACAAUGACUUGUAGCAAACUGAAAACUAUUGCAAAAGUUAGACAAAAAUAGCUACGUAGAGAAAAUAACUUGUCUGGAGAAUGUUCUGACAGCAUCCAUUUCUUAAUAAAAAUUUGUAGUUUGAUUUUUAUCUCACUCGUUUGUAAAUAAACUCCACCCUGUCCUAAAACAAAUCUUAUACAGAAAUAGUGAUGGUCACAGUCUCUAGGUCAGAAACAGUGAAAGAAAACGGUAAAGGCAUGAAAACACGUAACUGAAAACCAAAUGGAUCUGAGCUUUUAAAAAGUUUGGGGAAUUAUGUUUCUGCCAUGAUGAACAGCAUUUUGAGGUAAGCCAAGAAGUGUGGACAAAUCCUACUGAAACGUCCACAUACCCUAUCAGAGCAGUGCAAUUUAUUUUUAUAUGUAUUGUCAUAUUUAAUUGUUGUUUUUUUACUUUCCUUGUGCAAAAUAUUUUCAUUAAAUUAUAC